AUAGUACUCCCUCCGUUCGGAAUUACUUGUCGUAGAAAUGGAUGUAUCUAGACAUUUUUUAGUUCUAGAUACAUCCAUUUGUCGUAGAAAUGGAUGUAUCUAGACAUUUUUUAGUUCUAGAUACAUCCAUUUCUGCGACAAGUAAUUCGGGACGUAGGGAGUAGUAU
rfam:Triticum aestivum genome assembly, contig: Triticum_aestivum_CS42_TGACv1_scaffold_577276_7BL